rnacentral:miRNA from 1 species
AUAGAUGUGCUGUGUUGUUGCUGUAUGGUAAUUCCUCUGUGGAUUGGUCCUCUGCUUUGUGCUACAGUCAAAUCUCCCAACAAUAUAUACAUAUACACAAACCAAUUUACAUAGUUCGGGAAUAUAUUGUUGAGAGAUUUAACUGUAGGACAAAUCAGUGGACCAAUCCACAGAGGAAUUACCAUACAGCAACAACACAGCACAUCCAU